rnacentral:rRNA from 1 species
AUUGAACGCUGGCGGCAUGCCUUACACAUGCAAGUCGAACGGUAACAGGUCUUCGGAUGCUGACGAGUGGCGAACGGGUGAGUAAUACAUCGGAACGUGCCCGAUCGUGGGGGAUAACGCAGCGAAAGCUGUGCUAAUACCGCAUACGAUCUACGGAUGAAAGCGGGGGACUCGCAAGACCUCGCGCGGACGGAGCGGCCGAUGGCAGAUUAGGUAGUUGGUGGGAUAAAAGCUUACCAAGCCGACGAUCUGUAGCUGGUCUGAGAGGACGACCAGCCACACUGGGACUGAGACACGGCCCAGACUCCUACGGGAGGCAGCAGUGGGGAAUAUUGCGCAAUGGGGGCAACCCUGACGCAGCAACGCCGCGUGAGUGAGGAAGGUUUUCGGACCGUAAAGCUCUGUCGAGCGGGAAGAAAUGUAUCAUGGCUAAUAUCCAUGAUACUUGACGGUACCGCUAAAGGAGCACCGGCUAACUCCGUG